rnacentral:rRNA from 1 species
CCUACGGGUGGCAGCAGUGAGGAAUAUUGGUCAAUGGCCGGAAGGCUGAACCAGCCAAGCCGCGUGAGGGAGGAAGGCGCAGAGCGCCGCAGACCUCUUUUGCCGGGGGACAAAAGGCAGGACUCGUCCGGUCCUCAGGGUACCCGUAGAAAAAGCAUCGGCUAACUCCGGGCAAGCAGCCGCGGUAAUACGGAGGAUGCGAGCGUUAUCCGGAUUAAGUGGGUUUAAAGGGUGCGCAGGCGGGCCUUUAAGCCGGCGGUGAAAUCGCGGGGCUCAACCCCGCCGAGCCGUCGGAACUGGGGGCCUUGAGUGCGGCGGAGGAGAGCGGAAUGCGGGGUGUAGCGGUGAAAUGCGUAGAUA